CAGGAAUCAGUAUUUUUGUAAAGUCUCCCAGGUAAUUUCUAUGUGCACUCAAGUUUGAAAGUCAACGCUAGCUACUGCACAUUAUAUCAUCUGGGGAAACUGAAAAGGACCAAUGCCUGGCUCCAGCCCUGCUGAAUCUCUGGAGACCUGUGUGCUGCAGGGAGGGACCUGAACAUUUCUAUGCUUUAUAAACAUCAGAGAUGAUUAUCUGCAUCCAGGGCUGGUAACUAGAGGUGAAGAGAUGGAAUCAACAUCUGCAGUUUGUUCAGACCCUGCGAUCUUCUGAAUGUUUAUUGUUGCUAUCUUUAGGGAAGUUAUUACCACUCUUUUGCCUUGGAACUGUGACUUGUACACCCCCAUUCACAUCCCCACCUCUUUAAUCUUCCCUUCUAGAUUGCAAAAUAAUGCCUGUUGAUGUUUGGAAAUCUGGAAAUAACAGAAAAGCGCACCAGAUAAAAUGUACCCAAUAUAACUCCAGUUCCAACAGUUCUCGAUGAAUAUAACCACUGCUUCCUUUUUGGCCUAUAUUCUUUUAAGCUAGAGAGAAUACUUUAGUAGGAAAAAUAAUUAACAUGGUAUCCACUCCCUUAACAAAAGUUGAGUUGUAUAACCCAUUCUUCUUGACUCUAGGUACAACACCAUACAGUAGAUCUCUAAAGCUUUCCGUCUUGUUUAGCUGAAUCUUUAUACCUGUCAGUAACUCUCCAUUUCUCCCUUUCCCCAGCCUUGAAACCUUCCUUCAACCCACUGUUUUUAUAAAAUCAACUAUUUUGCAUAUCACAAAAAAGUGGAAUCAUGCCAUAUUUUUUGUUCUGUGACUGGCUUAUUUCACACAGCAUAAUGUCCUCAAAGCCAAUCCAUGUUGUCACAUUCUGCAGAAUUUUCUUCUUUCUCAAGGCCAACUAAUAUUCCACUCUAUGUCUGUAUUGUGGUUUCUUUAUCCGGUCAUCUGUUGAUUUAGGUUGACUUCCUGUCCCACAUAGUGCUAUCAUGAACAUGGCAGAGCUAAUCUCGUCAAUGUUUUGGAUAAAUAUCCACAUGUGGAAUUGCUGGAUCAUAGAAGUCCAUUUUUUUUAUUGUUAUAUUCUUGUAGUACUUUUUUGUUUG
rnacentral:lncRNA from 1 species